GAUGAAGAACGCAUCGAAAUGCGAUAAGUAGUGUGAAUUGCAGAAUUCAGUGAAUCAUCGAAUCUUUGAACGCACAUUGCGCCCUUUGGUAUUCCUUAGGGCAUGCCUGUUCGAGCGUCAUUUAAACCUUCAAGCUAAGCUUGGUGUUGGGUGACUGUCCGCUUCACGGCGGACUCGCCUCAAAAUUAUUGGCGGCCGGUACAUUGGCUUCGAGCGCAGCAGAAACGCGAACUCGGGCCCGUCGUAUUGGCUCCCAGAAGCUAUCUUCACAAUUUUGACCUCGGAUCAGGUAGGGAUACCCGCUGAACUUAAGCAUAUCAAUAAGCGGAGGA
rnacentral:misc_RNA from 1 species